UACGUAGGGUGCAAGCGUUAAUCGGAUUUACUGGGCGUAAAGGGCGCGUAGGCGGCGUGGUAAGUCACUUGUGAAAUCUCUGAGCUCAACUCAGAACGGCCAAGUGAUACUGCUGUGCUAGAGUGCAGAAGGGGCAAUCGGAAUUCUUGGUGUAGCGGUGAAAUGCGUAGAUAUCAAGAGGAACACCUGAGGUGAAGACGGGUUGCUGGGCUGACACUUACGCUGAGGCGCGAAAGCCAGGGGAGCAAACGGG
rnacentral:rRNA from 1 species